rnacentral:lncRNA from 1 species
AACGUUCAAAAAAGAUUCCUGAUUUUAGGCUAAACAAUCGAUUGCUAAAACUGAACAAUCGAUUGUUCUUCAACGUUCAAAAAUCAAUUUAGGAUUGUGGAAAUGGUCAGAAUAUAAUCGAUUGCUUGAAGAGACAAUCGAUUGUUUAUAAUCGAUUGUGGGACAAAGACAAUCGAUUGUUUUGAUAUUUAAAAACCGGUUGCACUGUCU